rnacentral:rRNA from 1 species
AUUGAACGCUGGCGGCAUGCUUUACACAUGCAAGUCGAACGGCAGCGCGGGCUUCGGCCUGGCGGCGAGUGGCGAACGGGUGAGUAAUGCAUCGGAACGUGCCCAGUAGUGGGGGAUAGCCCGGCGAAAGCCGGAUUAAUACCGCACACGACCUGAGGGUGAAAGCGGGGGACCAAAAGGCCUCCCGCAAUUGGGCGGGCCGAUGUCGGAUUGGCUGAUUGGUGGGGUAAAGGCUUACCAAGGCGACGAUCCGUAGCUGGUCUGAGAGGACGACCAGCCACACUGGGACUGAGACACGGCCCAGACUCCUACGGGAGGCAGCAGUGGGGAAUUUUGGACCAUGGGGGCAACCCUGAUCCAGCCAUGCCGCGUGCGGGAAGAAGGCCUUCGGGUUGUAAACCGCUUUUGUUCGGGAAGAAAUCCUCUGGGCUAAUACCCCGGGGGGAUGACGGUACCGGAAGAAUAAGCACCGGCUAACUACGUG